CACCCAAGUCUAGCGUCGACGUCGUGACUGACGUGUAUUACGUUUGACAACAAAAAAAUCAAGAGAACAAGGGGCCUGCUAAUUGAAAAAUUAAGAUGUGGGAAUGUUUGUGGGAGUGGACCGUGCCAGAUGCCUUCUUCAACGAACAGAGGGCCUGUUAAUGGAAAAAAUAUGAAUGCGUGAUAGACUGGAUAAGAUGCCUUUUCAAAAGCAAGUUUUGAGUUAACUCGUCCUUUGCUGAAAAAUGUCACAUUACCCAAGUAUACAGGAGUGAAGCUUUUGCCAUCGUAUAAUUUUCCCAUAAAAUGGGAACAUUUAAGUGUGGAAUUGUGUGUCAAUGAAUGGCCCCGUUAAUAGUGAUAUCACUUCCCGGAACAAAAGGAUGGAAGGCUGAAUGAGAAUAGAGGAGUGGAGGUGAGUCCAUGGAGCGUGUACCGUCAGCCAUUUCCGUCUCCUCCUUACGGGUCAUGCACCAGCCCAUCGAGAGAGCGCGUACAUGACUGACAAUACCCGCAAGACAAACGGUCCACUCCAGCACAAACCACGCUCAGACAGAAAUGUGCAAAAAAAUAAUAGUUAUUAAAUUAAUUGCGGUCGUAAUCUCGUAAAAUAUGUGUCAGAAAAUUAUACGCUGUUCGAUUAACACAUAACACGGAUGUCAAAUAUGUAAUAAAAUCCUGAUCAAUAAAACAAUAACCAUGUUGUUAAAAGCAGCCAUUGAAAGGUGUUGCCAGCUCUGUGUUUCAGGGGUGAGCACCCCUUUUAAUAUAAACGGAUUUCAUCUUUCCACCAUGUCACCUAAAUCACCACAAUGUUUGUGUAUACAAUUAUAAUAAGUUAAUAAAUUGUAGCAAUGGAUGGAUUAGGAAUACUCUCAUCGACCCCAUAUAUCAGGCAUUGUCAUAGGCACAGAAAAUGCAUGUCUAACAAUCUGUUGAUUACGCUGUGCUCUGAGGUAGAGAUACGUUAUUUGAACCUCUUGCAUUGUUAAAAUCAAUAAGUUUCAGGCAGUAAUGACCACAAUUAAUGAGUCUUUUUACAUCUUCAGUUAUCUAUAUCUAUUUUAGUUUUAACGGCAGGUUUAGUAUUCUUACAUUCUGCGUCUUUCUGAAAAAUGACACUUUUGUCUUUGCAAAGAACAGAGCUCAUUGAUUUUGUAGUGAAUGACAUGCUAUACUUUGGCCCUAAAGCAGUGCAUUGAGAGCAUACGGCAUAAAUGAUCACCUAUUGUUCCAGAUACAUCGUCUUAGUGCUAAAAAUUCACUAUACGCUAAAAGAAAAUGUUAAGUUUGGGUCUCAUAAUGAUUCUUUUCCAGCUGAAAAGGUAUUUGUGCAUAGCAUACAAAUGUAUCAUUGACCUAAAUGUGUUUUUUUAUGAAAAAGUGUUUUAAGGGAAGGCUUUCAUUAACUGAAACCGUAUUCCUCUUUCUCUUCUCAAGCACACUGAAAUAAUGUUCAUGCCACAUUGACUUCCAGAGGAGCAUUAGUGUAUUUAUCUAUUUAUGUGGAAUGAUUCGAAAAAGCUGUUAAUUUGAAAAUUAUUUUUUAUUUUAGUUUUAAUUUUUGCCAGGGAAAUAUUCAUUUGAGUGAAUUAAUUGUGUAGCAAUUAAAAGCGGCAUAUUUGGGAACAGUUAUGAAAAUGGCUGUAGCUGGAGGUGUGAAUUUUGUAAGUAGGGUUAAUUAACACUAGCCCUGCAUUGCCAAUGAAACCAUCAAUGCAUUUGAGUAGAGCUUAGACUUAAUUCAGAGCGGCUCUUUGUGAAUAAGUUUUAUCAUGCAUGCUAUUUGUGAAUAUUAUUGAUUAUUUCACCACAAGGAAUUUAUCGCCUUAUAUGCAUACUUUAUUUACUGUAUAUGUCCACAUUGAACCAGUAUGCUGUGUCUGUAUAGGUGAAAUAAAGAUAUAUACAGUAGAUUAAACAGUCCCAUCAUCUUAGCAAGCAAAGCAAGAUAUCAGUGCACUAGCAGAGCCAGUGGUCAAUAAUUGAAUGCGAGAGGCCCAUUGUCCAAUUACACGGAUUAUCAGUGGAGGCUCCCCCUCUCGUUAAUGACUAAGGCAAGGAUGAGUAAUUAAAAAGAUUCAUGUUGUGGCCACUUAAUGAUCCUCUCUCUUUUUUGUGCCUCAUCUGUGGUUACUAGAGCAUUUAAAGGAGGGCAUUGUACCAAAACUCCCUCAGUUUUUCAAAUGCCUUUGGUUACAUGUGUACUGUCGGAAAGCACCCAGCGAACAGCUGUUUGCAUAGAAACCGUGUGGUUUGGGUUACUCAGCUGUUGAAACUGCAGUAUUAAAGUCUUUUUGCAUGGAUUUGGCGGUUUGUCCACAUACCUGAAAGCUCAGGUCAGGAAGAAAUUCUUUGAGCUAUUGAGUAUGUAACUGCUCUGUGCUGUGAAAAAAGGUUUUGAUUAGUGCAAUCUGAGUUUUAAACGGAUUGUGGGUGCGUCAAAAUGUUCACUAACUAUAGGUGAUUCGAGAGUUGUUUCCUGUUGUAGAUGGCAAAAAAAAAAAAAAAAAAAAAUCUGAGAGCUCUAACAUUGGACCUACUGAAAAAAACUUCAAAGUUAACAUCAAAAUGCUGUCUAUUUAUUAAGUGUUACAUGGUUGAUUUAGCAUGUUCUUUGACAUUUGUCAUGUGCAUCUCUUUGGGUUUAGGCUUGUUCUUAUCCAGCAAUGGGUUAAAUUCACUAAAAGGUUGGUUCACUUUUGUUGAGUUUAAAAUUGCAUGUGCUUUCAUUAAAUAGCUGCAGUCCAGUUUAACAUGCCCAGCAAUAGCACUGUGUCAUAUAUAAAUCGUCAUUUAAAUUUUAAUUGUUGUUCUUUGUAAAUUAAUGUAAAUUUGUGUUAAUGUAAUUAGGCCUUAGUUUUGAUGCUGUUACUGUCUGUGGGAAGCUGAUGGUAAACAGAAAUGUAUUAAAAAGUGAUUGUUGUGCCUUUUUCUAUUGAUCAUGUACUGUAGUAUUAAUUCACUCAGUGAUGGAGAAGAGCAUUCUAAGUUUUAUAUAAUCAAUCAAGUUCAUUUUCAGAAAAAGGCACCUACUGUACAAUACUGUCCCUGUGAAGUAAAAUUUGCACACAGCAAAAAAUAAAAAAAAUAAAGAAAGAAAUAAAGGCCACGUUUGAGCUGUUACCUUAUUUGCAAUAUUACUAUUUUAGAUGGAUUUUAAAAAUGCAAAUAGAGCAUGCAAAUAACAAAUUCAGUUUAUCAUGAUUGAAUUUCCCUAGUUGCUGAAAGCACCUAAAAACACUGAUUUGAUUGAUUGACUUCAUGAUGACUUACUGUUCUUGUGGUCAGCCUGAUACAAAGCAUAUUUAGUAGCCAAAUUGAAGUGAUUAACUCCAGCAUUCAUUGUUGACUUCUGCCUGCUCAAACUCCACUUUUCUGAAAACCUCGACUUCCGACUCAAAGUUGGAUAUCUCGGGCCAAGGAUUUUCCGUAACCUAUUUUCCUGAGCCCUAGACCUCAGGGCUGAAUUCAUAAAAGCUCAGGCUGUCGAACAAUUUGUCUUUUGACAGGAGGGACCAGUGAAGCCACCAGAGGCUGGUCAACAGUGAGUGGCAGGGCCCAAGCCUGGGGCGAUACCUAUGGGGCGGGUGGCUGAAUGGGUAUUGCAGAAGCAGCUCUGGUAAGAGAGAGAAAGGGGAAGAGAGAGAGCGAGAAGGGGUAUGAAGGAGGGAGCAGGCCGCCAUCUGGCCCCGGAGAGGGAAUUGGGUGGUACGAUCAAGCCGAGGGUGGUGUCAGAUCAGAGCGGUCAGGGCUGGUGGUGAACAGAUGUUCUGGGGUGAACGUGCACACUAGCAAACGUGCUCUGGAGGGACCACGUGUGUCCAUCAUUGGCUGGAGAAUGCUGCUGUUCUGACCUUGAGCAAGGAAACAUGUCAAAGUCUCUCUGCUCUAAAAUACAA